rnacentral:rRNA from 1 species
UACGGGGGGAGCAAGCGUUGUUCGGAUUUACUGGGCGUAAAGGGCGCGUAGGCGGUCAGCACAAGUCAGUUGUGAAAUCUCCGGGCUUAACUCGGAAAGGUCAACUGAUACUGUGCGACUAGAGUGCAGAAGGGGCAACUGGAAUUCUCGGUGUAGCGGUGAAAUGCGCAGAUAUCAGGAGGAACACCGAUUGCGAAGGCAGCUCGCUGGGACGUUACUGACGCUGAGACGCGAAAGCGUGGGGAGCAAACAGG